CAGUAGCCGCGGUAAUACGGAGGAUCCAAGCGUUAUCCGGAAUUAUUGGGUUUAAAGGGUGCGUAGGCGGAUCCGUAAGUCAGUGGUGAAAUCUCCAGGCUUAACCUGGAAACUGCCGUUGAUACUAUAGGUCUUGAAUUUUGUGGAGGUUAGCGGAAUAUGUCAUGUAGCGGUGAAAUGCAUAGAUAUGACAUAGAACACCAAUUGCGAAGGCAGCUGGCUACACAACUAUUAACGCUGAGGCACGAAAGCGUGGGGAUCAAACAGGAUUAGAUACCCCCGUAGUCCCUGUCUCUUAUAA
rnacentral:rRNA from 1 species